rnacentral:rRNA from 1 species
UACGUAGGCAGCGAGCGUUGUUCGGAGUUACUGGGCGUAAAGCGCGCGUAGGCGGACCUGCAAGUCGGGGGUGAAAGCCCGAGGCUCAACCUCGGAACUGCCUUCGAUACUGCGGGUCUCGAGUCCGGGAGAGGUGAGUGGAAUUCCUAGUGUAGAGGUGAAAUUCGUAGAUAUUAGGAAGAACACCAGUGGCGAAGGCGGCUCACUGGCCCGGUACUGACGCUGAGGCGCGAAAGCGUGGGGAGCAAACAGG